AUGAAUUCAGAAAAUUUCAUCAAAGGAGCCAGUGUUGCUGGGUAUUCUACUGCACCAGGGUUUCUCCUUGGCAGCGUGGACAGAAUUUCUACUGAUGGUCACAAUUCAGAGAAGAGGGAUAAAGAAUCUUCUCUCUCCAGCGGGCAUAUAAAUGAGCCGUUUUCUGCUGUAGAUAAAGCGACACUUGAAGAAGCAGUUAGGACAGAUGUUCAAAACAAGAACGUGCCGUGUGCUCAGCUUCUGCAGUUCCUCCAAAGGAACAUCAUCAUUGCCGCCGCCUCGGUGGCAGGAGUCCUCGUGGUCACAGUGUUGCUGCUGCUGGCGUUGACCACAUGCAUCAGGAGGAAGCAGCUAUCACAUCCUCCGGCGAACAUGACAUAUAAUAUUUUUAUUCUGAGUGGGAAGACUUGGUGGCAAAAGUUUCAAGAAAAGAACCCCAGAAAACACAGCGAUAAACAGAAACAGUUGUUGAAGAGCAAGUCCUGUGUGUAGGCCAGCUGGUGGGGCCAGCCGACCCAGGACGGAAGCGAUGAGGCCAGGCAGUUCUCCACCCAGACACCAUGGACAGGCAUUUGGAUUUCUGGCUGUGGGGUGUGCUCUGCAAAAUGCUUACCUUCUCCUGUCAGUCUCGAAUGGACCAAGACACAAAUGUUUAACCACAGGAUGCCUCUGGUGUGGUAUGGCACUGACGGCUAGUGCGAGAGACUCAGCACAUUUGCCCAAAGACAAACCUGACCAGCUACCGGUUUACUUAUUUAUUAAAGCAUCGAUUCUCUGAUUCAGCCGUUCAGGGAGCAGAUGUUGAUUAACACCGAAUAUGAAGACAAUCUCAAACAGGCAACCAAAGGUAUUGGAAGCAGGCCCGGUCCUCGCGGGUUUCUGAGGAGAGGGCAGACAGCCGCCUGAAACACUGAAGAGCUUAGGGCUCUGAGCUCCCUUUCGA
ensembl:lncRNA